rnacentral:rRNA from 1 species
UACGGGGGGGGCAAGCGUUGUUCGGAAUUACUGGGCGUAAAGGGCGCGUAGGCGGCCUCCGCAAGUCAGUUGUGAAAUCUCCGAGCUUAACUCGGAAAGGUCAACUGAUACUGCGGGGCUAGAGUGCGGAAGGGGCAACUGGAAUUCUUGGUGUAGCGGUGAAAUGCGUAGAUAUCAAGAGGAACACCUGCGGCGAAGGCGGGUUGCUGGGCCGACACUGACGCUGAGGCGCGAAAGCUAGGGGAGCGAACGGG